rnacentral:lncRNA from 10 species
CCAAGUGAGGCAAUGCCUCUCCCUGCUUCGGCUCGCACACGGUGCGCGCACCCACUGACCUGUGCCCACUGUCUGGCACUCCCUAGUGAGAUGAACCCGGUACCUCAGAUGGAAAUGCAGAAAUCACCUGUCUUCUGCGUCACUCAAGCUGGGAGCUGUAGACCGGAGCUGUUCCUAUGCGGCCAUCUUGGCUCCUCCCCAGAAUAUGGCCUUUUUAAGAAUGCAGUGGAGGUGAUACUAUGGUCAUAAUGACCAGGGGCUGGGUCAGAAGAACUUCAGAUUGAGCCUCUUGAAACAUUUGCUCUUGGAAUUCUCCCUCUCAGGAAACUAACAGCCUGCUAUGAAGCCCAAGCCACAAAGAGAGGCCAAGGGGAAAUAAACAGAGUGUGAUUAUAUGCAAAACCUACAAGAAUGAGGACCUCCAAACUCAGUGUACAGAGUGAUUUUCUGCUGAAACAAUUGGCUUUUAAAAAAUUGUGUGACUGACCAGCAGCAGUGGCUCACAUCUGUAAUCCCAGCACUUUGGGAGGCCGAGAAAAUAAAAGAGACAUCAGUGUGUGAAUGACGACUUUCUGUUGCUGACUUGGAAGACAGAGGAAUUGGGUCAUGAGCCGAGGAAGGUGGGCAGCUUCUAAAAGGCGGAAAAGGCAGGGGAUGGCUCUGGCAGAGAAUCACUCCUGAGUACAACUUUCUGGCGGAAGCUCUAGUAAGUAUCCACAUCCAAAAUGCCUGGAGGAUC